UCCAUUGAUGGUUUCCAGGGAGAAGAGGAUGAUAUAAUAAUACUAUCAACUGUUAGUUCCAACGGGAGAGGAGUUGUUGGAUUUCUUGCUGAUAAUCGAAGAACAAAUGUUGCUCUUUCUAGAGCAAGGCACUGUCUUUGGAUUGUUGGGAAUGCUCAUACACUUCAUAAAAGUGGGACCGAAUGGACAGACCUUGUUGCUGAUGCGGAGAGACGUAAAUGUAUUUUCAGUGCCACUAAUGACGCAACCAUUUGUAGGUUGGUUUUGCUAGUAAAGCAAGACCUUGAUGAACUUGAGGAUCUUCUUAGUGCUGAAUCAGCGGUUUUCAGCAAUACCAGAUGGAAGGUCAUUCUUAGCGACGAGUUUAGAAAGUCUUUCACCAAACUAAAAUCACCACAGCUCAGGAAGGAAGUACUCCAAAAUCUUAUCAAACUUGGAGAUGGUUGGAGGACAACAGUCAAGAACCUUGAUAUGCCUGGUGUUUCUCAUCUUGUAAAAGUAUACAAGGCCUGGGACUUGUAUCUUGUUUGGAGUACUGACAUUGAGAAAACUGAAAGAACGUAUUCCCAGAUAAUAAGAAUUUGGGACCUACUGUCACAGCAAAAUGUUGCAAGGAUUGUUCAACGCCUCGAGAAUCUAUUCUAGAUGUACACGGAUGAUUACCUGGAUCAUUGCAGGAGAGUGCAGGCACAAGGGAAACUGGAGGUUCCAAUGGUUUGGGAUAUUGUGCAUGAUAUUAUCCGCUAUAACAAGGAUUGCAAAGCUGAUGCUCAUGAAGAGCAUGAUCCCAUGGAUACAUCAUAUGGCAUGGAGAAUUCAAAAGUUAGUGAAAGCUUCCUACUGAUGAAAUUCUACUCUUUAUCAUCUGGAAUGGCAAAGCAUUUGCUGACAGCUACUGAUGGGUCUGAAAUCAACAUCCCCUUUGAACUGACGGAUGAAGAGAAGGUGAUAAUCCAAUUCCCGCUCACUAGUUUUAUAGUUGGGAGGUCAGGCACUGGAAAAACCACUGUACUGACAAUGAAACUGAUUCAAAACGAGCAACAGUCAUUGAUUGCAUCGCAAGGUUUAAAUUUGGAUGGAGCUGAUUUAUCAGGGGUAGAUGACAAUAAUAUUAUGUCAACAAAGAAUGGAGGAGAAAGUUCUAUGAAACAAGUAUUUAUCACUGUAAGCCCAAAGCUAUGUUCAGCCAUAAAAGAUCACAUCUGCAAACUUAAAAGAUUUGGCACCGGUGAUGUCUCUGACCAGUCUAGCAUUCUUCACAUGCAUGACAUCAUGGAUGACCUGGAAGAGUUUACAGAAAUUCCUGACAGUUUUUGUGAUCUACCUCACGGGCACUAUCCUCUUACUAUAACACACCGUAAGUUUUUGAUGAUGCUUGAUGGAACAUGCCAUACAUCUUUUUUUGAUGCGUUUUAUGGUGAAAUGAAGUCUAGCUUUGAGAGAGGACAUUCAAGAUCUCGUGCAGUGCAUACUUUUAUUGAAUUGAAGGAAGUUACCUAUGAAAAAUUUGCUACUUCCUACUGGCCUCGUUUUAAUGCAGACCUGACAAAAAAAUUGGCGUCCACUGUCUUCACUGAAAUAAUUUCUCAUAUAAAGGACGCAUAUCAAGCAAGCAGGCCUUAUACUGGCAAACUGGACAGACAAGAUUAUGUGAUGCUCGCUGAUAAAAGAAUUUCAUCUUUGAACAAUGAGAUGAGAGAUAGAAUUUAUGAUAUAUUCCUUGAAUAUGAGAGUAUGAAAUGCACUACCAGGGAGUUUGAUUUGUCAGAUUUUGUAAAUAGUCUUCACAGCAGUCUUGUAUCUGAGGGCUACAAUGGAGAUAUGGUGGAUUUUUUUUACAUAGAUGAGGUGCAGGAUCUCACCAUGACACAAAUAGCACUUCUUAAGUAUGUCUGUAUGAACAUCAAGGAAGGCUUUCUUUUUGCUGGUGACACUGCACAGACUAUAGCAAGGGGUAUCGAUUUCAGGUUUGAAGAUAUCCAUUCACUUUUUUAUACUGCAUUCCUCGCAGAAAAUGAAGCGUCUAAUGAAGGACUUAAACAUGGGAAAAGAGUCCAUCUCUCACAUAUGUUCCAACUAUCACAGAAUUUCCGCACACAUUGUGGCAUCCUCCGUAUGGCACAAAGUAUCAUGAGCCUUCUGUACUUCUUUUUCCCAUCAAGUGUUGAUAAGCUUAAUCCAGAGACUGGACUUGUACAUGGAGAAGCUCCUGUGCUGCUGGAGUCUGAUAAUGAUGAGAAUGCAAUUAUGACUAUUUUUGGAGAAAGUAAAAGUAAACAUGGUAACCUGCAUGGGUUUGGUGCCGAGCAAGUCAUAUUAGUUCGUGAUGAUGCUACCAAAAAACAAAUUAUUGAUCUUGUUGGUAAACAAGCUCUUGUUUUGACUAUUGUUGAAUGUAAGGGCCUUGAGUUUCAGGAUGUGCUGUUGUACAACUUCUUUGGUUCGUCGCCUUUAAGAAACAAAUGGAGAGUUCUCUACGGCUACAUGGAAGAUAAAUAUAUUAUAGCACACUCGGAGCAGAUCUCUCAUCCUGGUUUCGACAGAAGCAAGCAUUAUCUUCUCUGUUCAGAGCUGGAGCAACUCUAUGUUGCAAUCACACGCACUAGGCAAAGACUCUGGAUAUGUGAAAAUACAGAUGAUUAAUGUCGACCAAUGUUUGACUACUGGAAGAAGUUGUGUAUUGUAGAAGUUAGAUCACUUGAUUCUACCCUCAUUCGGGCAAUGCAGACAGGGAGCAGCAGUGAUGAUUGGAGGCUACGGGGAACCAAGUUAUUCAAUGAGGGGCAAUUCGAAAUGGCUACUAUGUGUUUCGAAAAGGCCGGUGAUGCACACAGAGAGAAGUGGGCAAGAGCUGCUGGACUUGUAGCGACCGCUGACCUUGUCAUCUCAAAAAAUUUGGAGUUGGGCAAGGCUUCAUUGCAAACAGCAUCAGAGAUUUACGAGUCCAUAGGCAUGCAUGAGAAAGCUGCUACUUGCUAUAUCAAAUUAGGUGACUACAAAAAAGCAGGUAUGGUCUAUACGCAAAAAUGUGGUAUUUCUAGACUUGAGGAAGCUAGUGACUGUUUUGCUAGGGCUGAAUGCUGGUCGGAGGCAGCUGAAAUGUUUUUGAAAGCUAAAUGUUACACCAAGUGUUUCUCCAUGUGCUCGAAAGGAAAACAAUUAUACAAUCUGGGCUUGCAGUUUGUGCAACAGUUAAAGGAGGAACAUUCACUUGAGAAUUCAAAAUCCUUGGAGGUUUCUACAAUCAGAAUGAAGUAUCUGGAUAAUUGUGCUCAACAUUAUUUUGAGCGUGGUGACAUAAAGAAUAUGAUGCUCUUUGUUAAAGCUUUCAGCUCUAUGGAUCAUGUACGGGUGUUCCUAAAUUCUAGAAAUCUUAUUGAUGAACUAUUGAGUUUAGAGAUGGAAAUGGGUGAUUUCCUAGAAGCUGCAGGAAUAGCAAAGCAUAAAGGAGAUGUCUUACUGGAGGUAGACAUACUCGAGAAGGCAGAUUUGUUUGAGGAUGCAACACGGCUUCUCCUCCUCCAUAUCAUUGUGGGUUCCUUGUGGUCUUCAAAUAGUAGGGGGUGGCCUCCCAAAAGAUAUGCAGAGAAGGCAAAGUUGCUUGCAAAAGCCAAAGAGAUGGCAAAAAAGGUCUCUGAGUGCUUCUACUGCUUUGUUUGCGUCGAAGCUGAUGCACUGUCAGAUGUGAAUAAGUCUCUUUCCAGUUUGAAUUGCACUUUGCUUGAGGGCAGAAAAUGUGCAAACUUACUAGUUGAACUUGUUGCUUCCCGUUCAAUCCUUGAUGUUCAUCUUCAGUCUCGAGCCUCUGGAUACAAGAUAGAAUUAGGGCCAGGAUCUGAAGAUGAAAAUAGCUGUAAUGAUAUGCUGGCCUCUAACCAGAUGUCACCCCAAACUCUGUUUUAUGCCUGGAAUCGCUGGAAGUCGAUCAUAAUCAAAGUACUAUCUCAUCUUUGCCACACCGAUGGUCCAGAAUUAAAUGACUAUGCAGUUGUGUAUGAAGAUCUUUUUGCCAAGUACUUCGGAUUGAGAAAAGAUGGUGAAGGUGACAGAUAUGUUGUGCUGAACAUGAAUGCAAGUUGGCUUUCCAACGCUGGCAGGAAUUCUUUGCAGCAAGACAGCAACAGAUGUUUAUUGGGUGCCUCCGAGUGUCAUUCAUGUGCUCAGUGUUUCUGGAUGAAUGAGCUGUCUUCUGUUGGUUUCAGUGUACUUAAGAAGUUGGAGUCAAUUGUUCAAAUUUCUCGAAAGUCGGCAUCUUGGUAUACCCUGGUCAGAACUGUCCUUAUCAUACAUGAGAUAGAAAAGUUUUUGGAAGAACCACAGUUCAGCAUGCCAAAAGGUUCCAUGAAGUUAAGAAGCUUUUUUGUUCUCUGCGGGCGUCGAUUCUUUGAGCUAGUUUUUCUUGUGUGGAGAGAUGGGACAAAGGGGAGCCUCUCGCAUGUACUUGACUCACCAGCUGCAUAUGGAUUGAUUGUUGAUUCUCUUAGUGCAAAUCUUCGCCCAGCAAAUAAAAAUUUGACUUAUGGGCAUCUUGGGAGAACAACCAUGCUUCUGCUUCAUACAGCACAAUUGGACGAAGUGCUACUUUCAAGACUACUACAGUACCUGGGCAAUAAUUCUGAGUGGGCAGGUUUUUUUCGAUAUUUCAAGAGAUUUAUUGACAGUGGUCGCAAUAGAUCAUCCUUGAUCUUCAACUUUAAGCUUGCUCUUGAGUUUACCUUAAGUGUGAAGUGGAAGGAUGAACUAGACUACAUAUCCCCGGCAUGUUAUAUGGGUCUUAUGGAGUGCCUUGGUUUCUUGGCUUCAUCAUGCUUUGUACAGAAUGAUUUUAUGUGCUGGAUGAAAUCUCUGUUGGUCAAUAUGCUGGAGUGCCGUACCAGCAAGGCUUUCAUUGACACCUGCCUGGUAUCUAAGUCAAGCCCAGAUUCUGGUCUUGAUGGUGUGGAACACUUAUCAGGCCGUUUCAUAUACGAGACAAUUAUUACUAUCUUGACGACCAAGCAUAUGCUCCAGGAAUGGGUACAUAAGACUUCAUGUCCUUCCAGUACUUCAUACAAAGCAGUCCUCCUGAGACUAGUUGUUACACUUUAUCCUCUGAUCCUUACUCUUUCUCUUGGGAAGUGCUAUGAGGUCACACGUAACCUUGUGAGGAAUGAAGUAUUUAAGGAUUUACCUUUGGAGUCUCUAAGAAGAUUGAAGAUGCUUUGA
rnacentral:rRNA from 1 species